rnacentral:misc_RNA from 1 species
GAAGUCGUUACUCCAACCCUUGUGGAGGAGGACGCCGAAGGUGGGGCUAAUGACUGGGGUGAAGUCGUAACAAGGUAGCCGUACCGGAAGGUGCGGCUGGAUCACCUCCUAACAGGGAGACAACAAAAUGUAAAUAUUAAUUUUGUCACCUUAGGUCGAUCGGUAUCUCAGAUUCUUAUUAUUUAAGAAUUUCAGUUUCUAAGUUUUUUCUAGGUCACUCCCAUCACUUUUUCCUGGGCCAUUAGCUCAGGUGGUUAGAGCGCACCCCUGAUAAGGGUGAGGUCCCUGGUUCAAGUCCAGGAUGGCCCAUAUCUCUAUGUUGGGGGCAUAGCUCAGUUGGUAGAGCGCCUGCUUUGCAAGCAGGAUGUCAGCGGUUCGAGUCCGCUUACCUCCACUGAAUACCACCUCUUACAUAUAGUUGAAGUGGGAAAUUGUUUUGAGUCGUGUCCUAAUUUGCUCUGAGCGAAUCUAGCUUCCUAUUUUAUCCAUGAAAUAAGAUGCUGGACUCAUUGAAUUUUUUUUCAUUGUUUUCAGAGAACCUUGACAACUGCAUAGAUUAUUUUUAAAGACAAUAAGCAUCUUUAAUGAUGCAGAUUUAUUAUUUGUGCGAAUGCAUUAAAUAACAAUUCUAUUAAGCUGAUGCUUCAAUUAUUGAAGUUAUUGGCCAAGCUACAAAGGGCUCACGGAGGAUACCUAGGCACACAGAGGCGAUGAA